UACGUAGGGUGCAAGCGUUAAUCGGAAUUACUGGGCGUAAAGCGUGCGCAGGCGGUUUUGUAAGUCUGUCGUGAAAUCCCCGGGCUCAACCUGGGAAUGGCGAUGGAGACUGCAAGGCUAGAGUUUGGCAGAGGGGGGGUAGAAUUCCACGUGUAGCAGUGAAAUGCGUAGAGAUGUGGAGGAACACCAACGGCGAAGGCA
rnacentral:rRNA from 1 species